GGAUUUGCUCAAAGUACAUUUUCAGUUUCAUUGCAAUUUAGAUUGAAGUUUUUUUGUGGGUGAUUACCAAAACAAAGCGAGCUUCUCAGUAGUUCUGCCAUAGGUACAGCUCCUCAGCUCCAUCUGUGAAUGGUAAAAUGGUGCAAAAAAUGUUGCAUACUUCACAACUUCCAAAGCCUUGGCAAUUCAACCCAGCAUCAUCCAGUCCCUCGCCAGGGUGGGCUUCCAGCGAAGCUAUGCAAUGGCCCCGUUCCUCCAAGGUGUUACCAAGCAGUUCUCUAGGAAUAUUUUCAAAAUGAGAAGCAAAUGGUUCAGCAAAGAUACGGAGGCUCUGAGCUGAGAUGAACUCUGAGGUUGUUUGCAAGGAGCCCGUUUUAGACAAAGGCCAUACGUCAAAGUGCCUCUUUGCAUUACUAUCGUCAUACACACAAAGAACUACAGAGACAGACGUGGUUGUGUGCUCUUGUGAUUCAAUUCACAAAAGUUCUUGCACUUCCUGAAAAGUCCAUAUGAUAUUACAGUAGAAAAAUAGUAUUUGUGAAAAUAGCAUCUUCAUAUUCUGCAAUUCUUUGCAGGCAGAGUAUUUUUGAGUCUGUGAGCAAUAUAUGUUAAAAAUAGUGGCUGCAUCAGGUAGCUAUAGUAACCAACAUCUACAAAUAAGCGACAGAAGUGCCUGUAAGCUGUCCCAAGUGAUAGUGCCUGAAUUUAUGUUUUACAAAAUGAUGACUUCACUCAUUGCACGUGACUCAUAAAAGCUGUCUAAACAAUGCAAGUAGCUUGUCUAGCUUUCCCACACUGUAUACCUUAUUCUGAGUUGCUUCCAGCUUCCAUGAGCCUCCAGUUUUCAGAUCAAAGCUUGCCAGGUUCAUUCUCUAUAAAGUUGACCUUAAACUCUGAACAGGAGCUCUACAAAACAGAUGAAAGGAAGAGGAGUUACUGUAGACUUAAAUACAGAUACAGUUGUUGGUAUUUUUAAAAGCUAUUUAUUUAUUAUUUAUCCUCAGCUUCUUCCAAGCAAGUGAUUUUGGUCAAAAAGAGCAAUUUAGGAAAACCUGCACAGCUGGGUGUAUAGGAAGCUGUCCCCAGGGAGGACUUAACAAUCCCCAUAAAUAAGCAAGAUUUGAACACAUGUUGGCUGACAAGACAUACAUGUAUAAAGACAUUGAUAUGACUUCUGCAUACGGUACUAGAAAGAUGACUUUUAAAAUACACCCAGUUCUCAUGUCCAGUAUUCUCCUAGCAUUAAAAAUUUGGAGAGGUCUUGAAGUGGUCACAAAAUGUCUGCAGCCAAAAGUAGGGCUAAUGAGAACCCUUCAGCCUAGUUAACUUAUCCAAGAGAAGGCUGGGAACUUAAACGUCAGCUGCAAGUGUUUACAGAAAUCUUAAAAGAGAACAUUCGUUUUUGUUCUAAGUAAAAAGUAUAAUCUCUAAUCACAACAUAAUUUGCUUAGUAAUGCUCAUCUUAUUGCUUGGAAAGGGCUUCCUUCACAGAGAGAGGCCUUUGGUGAAGUUCUGCUAUAUUAAAUACAUGAGCUAGGCUACAUAUUCUACCAUAAGUUAUCAUGGCUCAUCAAAGUGGACAUCAUCAUGGAUACCAUCAUAGACACAGAAGAUGGCCAGAGAAGUUACUUCUAACUGAAGAUGUAAUUAAACCUUUGGAAUUGAAGCCUGCUUCCAGGCUGCUUGGGUCUGCACAAACCUGACACGCAAGCACACUACUGGUAAUCAUUCUUCCAACCAGUCAUUUACUGCAGAUUUUAAGGUAGUCAAGCUUCAGAGAAUGUGAAAAAUGUGCAAAAUGUGAACAGUGAUGUACAGCUACAGAAAGGACGACAUGCUUGAAAGAGUUGUCAUGACACUACAGACAGCAGACGGACUGACCACUGGCUCCCUGACCUUGUGAGGACUGGAAACCUUCCUGUCCAGUUCCAAACAGCACAAUGAUAGUAAGGACUGCACUUGUUUUGAAACAGACCAUCUGUCAUCUCAUCUCCUUUCCCAAAGUUACUGUAUCCUACAUCACAUGCUGAGUUUCAAUCGCUCAAGAUAUUCAGCUGAGAGAUACCAGCUUUUAUCAGUGCAUUUCAUUUUUCCUUUUCAUUACAACCAUGACAAAAUUGUUCUGUGUGUCUCAGAAGAAAUCCUAUCUAACAAAGAACAGAAUCUGCGUGUUGCUGUCAUUCAUGCAAGUUAGCUUAUCAUAGAAUGGCUUGGGUUGGAAGAGACCCCAAAGAUCACCACGUUCCAACCCCCUGCCACAGGCAGGGCUGCCAACCAUUAGAUCAAGCGCUAGACCAGGCUGCCCAGGGCUCCAUCCCACCUGGUUCCUGGGGCCACCAGGUCUUCUGCUCAUCUGCUCACAUUUUGGCUUCCCUGAAGCAGGAAUUCAAGGGAAGCUUGUGGAAUCAUCAUUCAUCAUUUUGUUUUGGGAUGAACAAUUGCUUCAUUGAGUUAAGUCCUAUUUGUACGCUGGAACCUGAAUAAAUUGGCAACCCCGACUGCACGAUGUGAGGAGAACAACACACUGGGAGAACAUCUGCUGUCCCAACAGUGACCUGGAAGGAAAUUUGACAGUGAGUACUGGGGAUCAGUAUGAGAAAAAUGCUGUGUUGGUGUCUGUUGUGCACUUCAGGGGACUAACGAAGUUAUCUGCCAUCUCUCUGCACAGCAGUCCUCACUCUUUCUUCUUUGUUUGCAAAUCCAGAUGUUGUUACACUGAGAGUUGGCCGGGCGGCUUCCAGUGACUGAAUAGUUGUUGUUGCCCCUCGUUCUGAAAGAUGGAAUUUGUUAAAACUGGGGGCUGCUGUAUUGGAGAUACUAGAAAAAGCUUUCAAGCCUCUAUGGUGGAAAGCUGGGAAUUCUGCGGCCCUUUGUGGCUGACAGUCUGAGAUCCAUGCAGGGCAAGAAAAGUAAACUAAAGCAACUUCAAUGAUUCUCUCAGAUUAGCGCAAGCUAAGAAGUCUCAGCCAUUAUCUGGAGGCUCACUGUGCUUUGAGGUACUGCAUGCAGAAUUAGAUUUAUAUUUGCUUAAAUGAACAGGGAGUCCCAUGGAGGGAUCAUAGAAUCAUGGAAUCACCAGGGUUGGAAAAGACCUCCAAGACCAUCCAGUCCAACCAUCCGUCUACCUCCAGUAUUGCCCACUAAACCAUGUCUGUCAGUACAACACUGAAACACUUCUUGAACACCUCCUGGGACGGCGACUCCACCACCUCCCUGGGCAGCCCAUUGCAGCACCUGACCACUCUCUCAGAGAAGAAUUUUUUCCUAAAGUGCAAUCUGAAUCUCUCCUGGCACAACUUGAGGCCAUUAAUGAUUCCGACCUGGUUAAAAUCAUUCCGUCCAGUUCAACCGUUGUGCAAUCAGCUUCAUUGUAAGAAGAAAGACAAAGAAGUUUAUGGAGUUAAUCAAAAAGUAUACAGAUUUAAUCAAAGUCUGGUGGCGACUGAUAAAUCAGCAACAUCCAGUAAGACGCUCUUCCCUAUUAAUAUGCAUGUGCAGGGACACGUAAUGGUUUAAAAGAUGUGAAAAUACAGCAGUGAAGAACCACAUAUAAAACAGACACAAUUUUUGAGCUCUGAGAGCUGCGCUGAAGCGUUGAUGAAAACGGUAUGUUAGCUGCUCCUUGUCUGGCAACACAGAGGAGAACACAGUGAGCUGAGAAGCACUGAGAGCAGAGAUGGGGAGUGCUAACAGACAGCAAGAACAGAUGGAGGGAUUGAGACUGGGAGAGCUACAAGGGAAGGAGUGCUGAGGAACACCUCAUCUCCAAGAAGUUCUCUGGGUGGUUCAAGGCUGAAUUCGCCCAUCUGCGCAUGCUCCUCUCCCAAAGCCAUCCUGUCAGUGGGCUUUACAGAGGCAGCAGCUCACUGUGGUGCCGGACAGGCAAGUGGAGGUCUCAGAGGACGGAAAAGAGCAUAGUAAGGGCUAUAUUGGAUCCUUCUGGUGUCACUGUCACUGUCUAACGUAGGCUGCGAGAGGUGGCUGCUUAAAUACAGCACAAGGCUACAG
ensembl:lncRNA